GGGGGACGCAGUAGGAUAGGCGAAGCGUGCGAUUGGAUUGCACGUCUAAGCAGUAAGGCUGAGUAUUAGGCAAAUCCGGUACUCAUUAAGGCUGAGCUGUGAUGGGGAGAAGACAUUGUGUCUUCGAGUCGUUGAUUUCACACUGCCGAGAAAAGCCUCUAGAUAGAAAAUAGGUGCCCGUACCGCAAACCGACACAGGUAGUCAAGAUGAGAAUUCUAAGGUGAGCGAGCGAACUCUCGUUAAGGAACUCGGCAAAAUGACCCCGUAACUUCGGGAGAAGGGGUGCUCUUUAGGGUUAACGCCCAGAAGAGCCGCAGUGAAUAGGCCCAAGCGACUGUUUAUCAAAAACACAGGUCUCUGCUAAACCGUAAGGUGAUGUAUAGGGGCUGACGCCUGCCCGGUGCUGGAAGGUUAAGAGGAGUGGUUAGCUUCUGCGAAGCUACGAAUCGAAGCCCCAGUAAACGGCGGCCGUAACUAUAACGGUCCUAAGGUAGCGAAAUUCCUUG
rnacentral:rRNA from 1 species